CAAUCCUCCAGGUAGACAGAAAAGUUCUCCAAGUCCCUACCCGUCCCAGAAGCCCAGCCGGCUUCACCUCUCACUGGCACUCACCUGUGGCGCCUAGCCCGGGCACUCCAGCAGCCCAGUGGGAGCUCCUCCCCCAAUCAAGCCCAGCAGCUGCUGGCCAGCCACGCCCAGUGUGGGGACGCCAAGCCCCCGCCCACCCGGAACUCUUGACGGCCUGCGAGCGCCACCAGAAGCCCCGGCUCCCACAGGCGCCUCUCGCUCCACACCUCCAUGCAAGCAGAGGGAGCCGGCUCCAGCCUCGGCCAGCCCCAGAGAGGGGCCCCCACAGUGCAGUGGCGGCCAGAGCGGAUGCCGAGGCCCAGGAGAGGCCGAGAGUGAGCCAGGGCUGCUAGCACGUUGUCACCUCUCACUAGUAAGUACCGAUAAUCAGGUUUCCCACUCUCCGCCAGGAAAUCUCCUAAAAUCAACUUAGAUCAAGUUUGGAGAAUGAGCCUACCAAUUUUUUUCCAGUGUAGCAAGAAAGAUCACAAACAGAAUAGCAAUGACUACUAAUGCUGUCUCUGGCCCUUUGCAGACACCAGAAGAGGUGGAGAUGGUCCAUAUUUACAACAUUUGUUGCAGACAAUGAGACAAAUGUAGUCCAUACUCCACAAAUUGCCAGAAGUAAUGUUAUUUGACCCAACAGGAGGGAGAAAGCGGAAUUUGUGUGGAGAGUAAGAUGCUGAUGUUUGGAUGUGCAGAGAAGAGUUUCCAUAUAGCAGGAAAAGCCCUUUUUCCUUUCUCUCCAGCUUGUAAGGAAGAGUCUAGAUAUUCCCACAUAGCACUAAGUUCUUCUAAGGGACAAUACUGGAAAAAGAAGAAAUCACAAGCUGGGGAAAAAGAUAUACCAGAGUUUAGUUUUGAGAAGGGAUGCAGUGCUUGAGAGAAGAAGCUAUCAUCCACAUGAACCAUGAGGGUAGUGUUGAGCAAGAUGAGUGGAAACUACUGUUUGGUGGGAGCACACAUCAGCAAAGCCUUAUUUUUAGGUAAUAUAUCAGUUUAAAUCAAAAUGUAAGAAUAAGCAUAUUUUGGAGGAGGCACUAUAUCAUAAUAUGUGAGUAAAGGGUUCUAAGAUAGACUAUCUGUUUCAGAUUCCAUCAUCACAACUUUAUAGUUGUGUCUCCUUGAGAAAGUUAUUUAAAAUUCAGUUUCUAAUUUAAAAGUAAAAAUAAUAGUACCUAUCUCGAAGUGUUGAGAU
ensembl:lincRNA